rnacentral:lncRNA from 1 species
CAAAAUCUAUUUUGAUCCCCAUCUCAGAAGGUCUUGAAUGGUUGUUGCAGAGGUCAUUUGAAGCAGAGACAGAGCAUCUCAAGAGAAAAUGGAAUACAGUUCCAAUGGACUCCAAUCUCCUUCAUUUUUUUCCUGUUCGUGCGGUGAAGUCCAUGGUGAUGUCAUUUCCCUUCAAACUUUCCCUCCUUUCUACCUAUCAAAACAGAAGAUUUCUAUUUUAUUGAAACAGAGGCUAUGUCGAAGACAAUCUUCAAAUCUUUAAUCUAUCUGUGGAAGGAAGAACAAUAACGUCCACAUCCUAAUCCUUAGAAACUGUAAGUAUGUGACAUUUUAUACUGGGAACAUUAAAAUUGCACAUGGAAAGACAGUUGCAAAUUAAUGGGCAUUUAGUUUAAGACACUGGUUAAAAUACUUAUGUCUCCAUUGGAGUACUUGCAUCCAAUGUCUGGCUGUGGCUCCU